GAUUUUUUUUUUUUUUGAGAAAUUCAAAAACAGUAUCUUGUAAUUUUUUCUAGAACUUGUUAUAAUUUCAUCUUUAAUAUAUGGAUUUUUAUUUUUCCUUUUUGCACAAUUGCAUAGAAGCUUAUUUGUUAAUCAAUUAUAUCAUGAAAUAACAUAAAAGCUAUAAGAUGUAGAGGUUUUGAAAGAUUAGAGGAGUUGGAUAUCAGUGGCAAUUUGUUCAAUAGUAGUAUCUUAUCAUCAUUUGGUGCUCUUAAAAUCACUUAAGACUUUGAUUGUUAGUGAUAUGUUUAAUACAAUGGUAGGUGCCGUCCCUAUCCAAGGUAUGUUUAAUUUUUGGAAUCUUUUUCUUUACACUUAUUUUAUCAGAACAUCCAAUUACUCUCACUUAUUCUUAUAAAAAUAAAUGGAUUUUUCAAAUUAUUUUUGAUAGUCUUACAAAAUCACAUAUAACAAAAAAAAUAUCAAUAUGCAAUUGUUUUAAGAUUUAUUAUAUAGAUUAUAUAUAUUGUGAAUUUGAAGAAUUUACAAGUUUUAGAUCACUUCUAAACAGUUUUUUUUUAAGACAAAUUUAAAAAUAGUAACUUAUUAUAUUUUGCAGAUGACUUAUUAUAAUUUCAUCUCUAAUAUAUAUCUUUUUUGUUUUUUCUUUCACAACCACACAUGAUUCAGAAUUAAAUAGUCUGAAA
rnacentral:misc_RNA from 1 species